CGGGGCUGGCGAGGGGGCUGAGACCAGAUCCAGCCAGGGCCUCGGUGGGCCCCUCCUCAGGCCUCUGUAGGGUAUCCCGCACAGCAUCGAUAUUUCAGCUGCACGGACUUUACUGACCCAGCGGCCGACCUCGAGUGUGAUAGAUGGGAUGGACCGACAUCCGACACUGGCCUGUCCACAAGGCACCUCCAGUCUGCUGGGUGACACAGAUGCAUAGACAGGAAACAGCUGGUGGGCCCUGAAGAUGGAAUAAACUACCUGUGAAGUGUUUCAGUCUUCUGGUGGUAAAGAAGGAUGGUUCCAGAAGGGUUCCUUCCGUGCUCUCAGUGGAGACGCACACUACAACGUUUGCCUUGUUCCUGGCACUCAUUUUCCACAUUUCUCCUCAUUCAUGUAUGGUCGUCUUUAGCCAGGAACUCCUUGGGCAGCUGAACUCCCUGCUGUGAUCAGCUGCUUGGCAUCCACACUGUAUUAAUAAUGUUGUUACUAGGCUAGCUGUACCUGAGCCACUGAACUGUGGAAAGUCUGAGAAAAGUAUCCUCCUCCAAACCCCAUUUC